UGCCAUGUCUACGUCCGGAGCGACAGUC
rnacentral:piRNA from 1 species